rnacentral:lncRNA from 1 species
UUUUUUUUUCUUUUUAAAAUAAUGGGCAAUAGGAUUUGAUUAGCCUUCUCAUGCAAAAUGUCUGAUUUUCAGGAACAGAUUCUUGUAAUUACUAUUGCAUUAUAUUAACCAGGACAAUAAUUUUUUCAGCAUUUUUAAAGCUUCUACUGUACCCAAAGUGUGGGAUUAGGUAAUACAGAGAAAUCAAGGUGAUCAUUACGUGAUUCCCGCACCCUCAACAGCCCCUUAAUAGUAGGGGAGAUAACCAUCUAUUCAUCAAACUACAAUACAGGGCUAAUUGUGGUAGCAAUAAAACUGAAGCAGAAACAAGGCUCUGUGUGGGCAGGGAGAUGCAAUAAUUCCAACUGGAACAAAGGACAGAGAUUAACAAUGAAACCUAAAACUACCGAGUUAAAAAAAAAAUGUUCACAAGCAUCAGCAAAUGUGUUUGUGCAUAUUAAUCACAGCAGUGGAGCUCUAAAGAGAGUGGCAAAUAUGUCAAAUUCUCACUUCCCCUCUCAGUAGUAGGGAUAAGGUACAAUUUUUCAUUUCAGUGAAAAUAGAAGUCUAUUAAGAAAACCAAUAGGUAAGCAAGAAUAUGAAUGAAACAUCUCCUUCCUAAGCAAAUAGGUGCUUGGAUUAUUUUUAAAUUGUACAUUAGUCAUAUGACCUUGAGCAAGAACUUAACUUCGGUUGGCUUCAUUUUUCUCAUCUGUAAAGCUGGAAAUUGAAUUCAAUGACUUCUGAAUGUUUGUUUUAUAAGGUCAAAAAUGUUAUAAUCAUAUCAUUUGCAUGCAAUUCAAAAUUGUAUUGAGUAUCUGCCAUGUAUAUAAUGCCAUGUGCACUGAGAAAUAUUAAAUAAACAUAAUGUACAGCCUCUGACCUCAAGAAACUUAUAAUCUUUUGGGAGAGGUCCAUCACUGUCAGGCUUUAUGUGCCUAUGUGCCAAAAGGCAGGGUCCAAAUAAUAAGCAAUUUGGGAACUGAGAGAACAAGAGGUCUUGUAGCCAAGGGAAGCAUCCUGAGGGGAAGAAAAAGGUCUGUAAGUAAAUAUAACGUAAAGUGGGCCAGGAAAGAAGUUAAGAUUUGAGUGGGAAAUUAAGAGGAAUAAGGCACUCAACUCCCUUACCUCCCUCCUACCCCUGACCAAAGGCAACCUGAAAGGGAGGGUGCAGAAAUCAACAUAGCUCCAGAUUGCUGUUUGGAAAAUACUACCAGGUUCUUCAGCAGUUACCCACUACAUGUAAACAUCUAGCCAUGCAUUCAAGAAGUUAGUAAGGGCUGGUACUCUUUCUUAACAUGUUAACUUACAUUUCGUUAUUUCUGUGGGUACUGGUCUUAGUUUUACAUAGUCAUCAGUUCAAACUUUGAAAAUAAAUCUACAGUCUUAGCAACAGCAGUAAUGAUGAAAACCUUAUUGCCUUAUUCCCAGUGUUUAUUAUUAAUGAUGGAGGGUCUGUUCAAUGAUUUAUACACCGUCUUUCCUGAGUGCUCAAGGCUGCUAUUAGCUCACUGUUACAGGUAUUGUCACUGGGCACAGUUUUUAUGAAGUAUAAUGGUCUUCUGAUUAUUAUAUUGUGGCAAAUGAAUAAUGUACUCCAUCAUUUCAUAGACUAUCUUGUAUGUGAGUAUAUUUAACUACUGCUUUAAGAUUUCUUAGGUAAUGAGAAUGAAAUUUUAAUAUCAGAGAUGCUUUCAGUUAAAUACAGAGACUUGUUCCCAACACAGUCAUCAUACACAUUCAUUGUGCAUAACAAGUUGGGAAAAUGGGAAAAAAUUAUAAAGUGGCCUGCAUUACUUUUUGUGUAAAAAUGCUUUUUAAAACAUUCACGGAAAAAGGAAACCAAAUUAGACAAAGGUUUUGUAGGUUUUAUACAUAGUUAUGAAGAUAGUUUAUUUUAUAAUAUACGUACUCAAACCUGUAUUUUUUUAAACUCGCUACCUGCACAGCCAGACUCAGAACCUUCCCCAUGUCCUAUGUGGACUUAUGACUAAUUACUUACUGUCAGUCUGUCUUUUCUUCUCACUUCAUAAAUCACCAUCAUUAUAAAUACCUCCACAGAGUAUAAAAUAAGUUUUUAUCAAUUUAAAAGGGGUCCAAGAGCACUCCGCUGUUCAUGUAAAUAUAUUACCAGGUACUGUAUAGAUCCAGUGAAGCUGCUCCCCUCGAGGGAAUAUGCACCAUAAGGACGGGUCUGGCGAAUGGCUGCAUCACACUAGAUACCAUGACAGUCUCCCUCUGAGCUUUUAAUUUAAUUCAAGACUUGCUCCUGAUUUUUAAUCUCCAAGCCAUAAACCCACCUUAGAAGAGCUAAAUGGAAACAGAGGACCAAGAUUUCAAAGGGAGCAACGGCUAUAGUCCUAUUCCAGUCCCCUUGUGACAAAGACAUUUAAAAGCUCAAUACAUCAAGUCCAUGAUAUCAUCCUUUGCCACCAUGUCGAAGGAAUCUAGGCCUCAUAAUUUCUAAUUUGACAGGAAGCAAAAACCCCUUUCCCUGAAUAAAAGGAAAAACUUGGGAUUAGAAAGAAACUGGGAACAAGUUACCAUUUACCUAAACUGUAGAAGAAUUGUCAAUUAAUGUAUAUCUUCACUGAGAUGUGAGGUGGAGGGAUGCCUGAAAAAUGAAGGAACCAUGUGCUUUUGUACAUUAAGAAGGCCAGGUUUUUAUUUCACAGAAACUCUUGACUAAGAUUUAUUAAAAGGAGGAACACACAUUUUAUGGAAACUAUACUUGGGUGAUUUUUGAAAGAAAAAAUUUAAUUUUCAUCUUCACCAUGCUGUUUGUGUCCAAAACUUGAAGAGAAAGUGAGACCACAGCUUUGUUACUGGGCCGAGGGAGAAGAAGAGUUGAAGUACCUUCCAUCAUCUCAACCCCAACUCCCCUAGGACCAGUGAGCCCCUCCAGCCGUGAUGAAACUUUUAGAGCAGAUGGCGCUCCAUUGACAUCCAGUGAAGAUACCCAAGAACUAGAAUGAAAAGGCAUACGGUACUGAGCAAGAUCUCUGAACAGUUUGGUGUGUCCAGAGAGAGAAUGUGGAGAAAAUGAGUAGUGAAGGGUUAAAGAGAGUUGUGUGUGAGGGGUUAGAACAUGAUAAGGAUUGUAAAGAGCAUCUAUGAGUCACCCUCUGAAGGGAAGACUUACCAAAGGAGCCCCCAUGUUAUUUAUAUUUCAACUUAAUUCUAAAUAAUAUACCCUCUACUCUGGCUCAGGACACUUAUGAAGGAAUCGGUGAAAGGACAACUCAAACCUCCUUUGAGACUAGUGUGUAUCCAAUUGAGGAAAACAGGCAAGGAGGUAGCAUCUGGAGGGCACUGGCAACUCCAAUAAGUGUGCCACCCUGCAUUCAUCUACCCAGCCUGAGGGAUUUUACCUAUGGUGUCCCAGACUCUUCAUCAUUCCCCUACACAGAAGAUUCCUAGGAACCAUUCUGCAAAUCUCAAAAGCCCUGUGCAGCAACAUACAUUUCCAAGUACAUGGUAAUAUUUAAGCAAAUCUUAAAACAAACAAUCCUGCCUCACAAUAUUUUAGAAUAAGUUCACAUAUGAUAGGAUAACUAUUCUACAACUUCAUUGGGUAAAAUCAGGGUCCUCUUGAGGAGCUCUCUUAAUUUUGUUCAGGCACAAAGUGGGAGAAGGGAGAGGAAAAUAAGCACAAGUACACCAAAGUAUUCUACUUAGCCUUAAAAAUCCCAGUGUUCCAAAGUCUAUAAAAAUUAGGUUGCUUUCCUUCUCUAGGCAAGAUGGUACUUAUUGCACUGAGCCUGAAAACUCAGAGCACAUGAGUCAGCCAAAAGGGCUCCACUGAGCCUUUAUUUCCUAACAAAUGUAGAACCAAUUAAUAUCCAGAAAUAACUGUCACUGCUUCCCUCUGUCUGAAAAUUAGAUUUUCUUUGUCCAAACCAUCUUGAACCUGAAUAGAAAGAUUUUUCCAGUGAACUUCUUGAUACCAGGGACAGCAAAACUGUCAGCACUUUCUUUCCAGAAAACUUUCCCAAAUCCAGCAUGUCCUCUUUGAACUGGCUUUGGUGGCUUGAAAGGCACUAUGGUGGUUCUUUCUUCUCUAUGCUAUUGGUGGCUAAGGUUCUGGACAUUGAUGAGUCAUUUUAAAAAGAAAUACCACAUCUAGGUGUUGACAGACUUCCACAAAAUGGAAAAAUGGUAAGGUCUGAAUCUAUCCAUAUCACUGCACCCCCAUCUCAUACAUUCAGAAAUAAUAUGCUUCCUAAGGUAAAUGGCACUGCCACCAGCUUCCUGUGGGUCACUAUUGUCUAACACUACUCACACAACAAUGAAUUAAAUACAUGUUUUCGUACUAAAGUCUCCAUGCAGUUUUCCUAUGCUGCCUCUCUUUUAGGGUCAAAUUUAUGAAUUUUAUUAAAUGAUCAAUCUCUUGUAUAGAAAAAAUGAACAGGUGCACAAAUACACAAUAAUUCAGAGUUUCUGGGUCCCCUGAAACCGAUAACUGAUUCCCAUUCUCUAGGGGUCCACAUUGCUUCUGGAAGUACUUACAUUAAGUUUUACACAGCUGUGAUUUGGGAAGUUAGCCUAACUCAUUUUAAAAGCCUCAAUCACUGACUUUGCUUCAAAUGUAUCUUUAAGAUGAGGACGUGACAUUCUCCUAGAGAAUGGAGGGGAAACUACCCUCAAUGCCAGCAUAGCCAGGCUUUAAACAUUACACAUACUAUCAAGAAAUUGAGUGAUAGGAAUGUAAAAAGACAGGGCACACGUCACAGAUACUUGAGAAUACAUUCAGAUAGUCUAUUGCCAAGAUUUGAACUGAGAGUCUGCAUAUACUUGACUUCAUUGAAAUACAAGAAUUACAAAUAUUUGUCAUAUUUUAUACCCUGCAAAUCUGCCUUAUUAUACAGCCAAACAUAGAUGAGAUCUUGAUAGAGCUUUUUUACUUUAGCACUAAGUCUCACUUUAUAAUAAAAACAUGCAUGGAGUUCCCAUUGUGGCUCAGCCGAAAUGAACCCGACUAGUAUCCAUGAGGAUGCAGGUUCCAUUCCUGGCCUUGCUUAGUGGGUUAAGGAUCUGGUGUUGCUGCAGCUGCGGCGUAAGUCACAGAUGCAGCUUGGAUUUGAUGUUGCUGUGGCUGAGGGGUAGGCCGAUGGCUGCAGCUCUGAUUUGAUCCUUAGCCUGGGAACCUCUAUAUGCUGCAGGUGUGGUCCUAAAAUGACCAAAAAAAAAAAUUUUAAUUUAAAAUUAAAAAAAUUUAAAAAUAAAAACAUGCAGUUCAACCCCAAUUUUAACUAUAAUGUUGUAUGGUUGACACUAAGCAAUGAAGUCAAUAUCUUAAGACAGCAAACAGCAAGAAUACACACAAUAAGUAGGAAAAGAAAGGACAGUGAGCCCAGAAAGAGAAAAACAUCAGAUGCAGAGCAACAUGCAACUUGAAUCCUUUAGACCCUAGAAAAAUUGCCAACAUUUGAAAGUGGAGAAAGUGCCUACAGAAGUGGAGUUCCAGUUGCAGCUCAGUGAUUAAUGAACCUGACUAGUAUCCAUGAGGACGCGGGUUCAAUCUCAGUGGGUUAAAGAUUUGGCAUCAGCAUGAUCUGUGGUGUAGGUUGCAGAUGGUGCUCAGAUCCCUCAUUGCUGUAGCUGUGGUGUAGGCUGGCAGCUACAGCUCUGAUUCGACCUCUAGCCUGAGAACCUCCAAAUGCUGAGGGUGCAGCCUUAAAAAGACCAAAG